rnacentral:rRNA from 1 species
UACGAAGGGGGCUAGCGUUGUUCGGAAUUACUGGGCGUAAAGCGCGCGCAGGCGGCCUUUCAAGUCAGUGGUGAAAGCCCGGAACUCAACUCCGGAACUGCCAUUGAAACUGUUUGGCUUGAGUACGAGAGAGGUGAGUGGAAUUCCCAGUGUAGAGGUGAAAUUCGUAGAUAUUGGGAAGAACACCGGUGGCGAAGGCGGCUCACUGGCUCGUUACUGACGCUCAGGCGCGACAGCGUGGGGAUCAAACAGG